rnacentral:rRNA from 1 species
AUAGGAAGAUAAAAGGCAUCUUUUAUCUUUUAAAAGACCUAGUAAUAGGUAUGCUUUAGGAGGGGCUUGCGCCAUAUUAGUUAGUUGGUAGGGUAAUGGCCUACCAAGACGAUGAUGUGUAGCUGGACUGAGAGGUUGAACAGCCACAUUGGGACUGAGACACGGCCCAAACUCCUACGGGAGGCAGCAGUAGGGAAUUUUCGGCAAUGGAGGAAACUCUGACCGAGCAACGCCGCGUGAAUGACGAAGUACUUCGGUAUGUAAAGUUCUUUUAUCAAGGAAGAAAAGCAAAUGGCGAACCAUUUGUUUGCCGGUACUUGAUGAAUAAGCCCCGGCUAAUUAUGUGCCAGCAGCCGCGGUAAGACAUAAGGGGCAAGUGUUAUCCGGAAUUAUUGGGCGUAAAGGGUGCGUAGGCGGUCUAGUAAGUCAGUGGUGUAAUGGCAACGCUUAACGUUGUCCGGCUAUUGAAACUGCUAAACUUGAGUUAGAUAGAGGCGAGUGGAAUUCCAUGUGUAGCGGUAAAAUGCGUAAAUAUAUGGAGGAACACCAGAGGCGUAGGCGGCUCGCUGGGUCUUAACUGACGCUGAGGCACGAAAGCGUGGGGAGCAAACAGGAUUAGAUACCCUGGUAGUCCACGCCGUAAACGAUGAGUACUAAGUGUCGGGUUAAACCGGUACUGAAGUUAACACAUUAAGUACUCCGCCUGAGUAGUACGUACGCAAGUAUGAAACUUAAAGGAAUUGACGGGACUCCGCACAAGCGGUGGAUCAUGUUGUUUAAUUCGAAGAUACCCGAAAAACCUUACCAGGUCUUGACAUGUUUUUGCAAAAUGAUAGUAAUAUCGUGGAGGUUACCAGAAACACAGGUGGUGCAUGGUUGUCGUCAGCUCGUGUCGUGAGAUGUUAGGUUAAGUCCUAAAACGAGCGAAACCCUUAUCGUUAGUUGCCAGCACGUUAUGGUGGGGACUUUAACGAGACUGCCAAUGAUAAAUUGGAGGAAGGUGAGGAUCACGUCAAAUCAGCAUGCCCCUUAUGACCUGGGCUACAAACGUGAUACAAUGGCUGUUACAAAGGGUAGCUGAAACGCAAGUUCUUGGCCAAUCCCCAAAAACAGUCCCAGUCCGGAUUGAAGUCUGCAACUCGACUUCAUGAAGUUGGAAUCGCUAGUAAUCGCGAAUCGAAACGACGCGGUGAAUACGUUCU